CAAAGAAGUGGCUCAUCAAGAAGAUGCUGAAGAACACCUACACGGUGGAAGACUCGUCCUCCGCGGAGUGCUCCUCGAUGGAUGAGGAUGACACGAUGCAUGACAUCAGCAGCAUCGAGGACGAGGUGUGGGACUCUCCGCUGACCCCCAGUUCGGCCAGGAACAUCGGCGAAGAGGAAAGAAGAGGACAGCUGGCCCCAGAUUGGUUCUCCUCGGUCCAUCUGGGAGAGGUAAGGGGUGCAAA